rnacentral:rRNA from 1 species
AUGUCGUCAGAGCCACCGCCUGCAGAGCCCUCCGUGGUCGUAGAGUCCACCAGGCCGUCGGCCUCACCGUCGAAGGAAUCAGAGCCCGCAGUGGUUAGGGGUGCAGCCGUCGUCGCCGCCACGCAGGUUGCUGCCGACGAGAAGAAGGCGCUGUGGCUCGGCAACCGGCCUGCGCAUGCGCGCGAGGACGACGUCGUGGGGUCCUUCGCCCCGCACAAGGCUCUCGACUACGUCAUCAUGUGCGUUAGGUACCGCAGUUGCGCCUUCAUCAUUUUCCGCUCCAUUGCCGACUAUCGGACCGCCCUCGAGGUGCUCCGCGGGUCCAAGUUCAAGGGCUCCUUCAUCCUGAUUGAGUUCGCCCGGCCGGCGGUGCGGGCUGAGGCCUCCAGCAGCUCUGAUAUAUGUAGUUAUUCGAGUGGAGGCACAAUGGAUCAGCGGCAACGGGGUGGUCUGGUGGAGGCUCACUGGUGGCUGGAGGCAGCAGUGCUCAGGGUCCAAGGAAGCGCGGCGCGUGAGGCCCUUGAUAUGGUGGAUGGGCACGUGUGA